AGAUUGAACGCUGGCGGCAUGCCUUACACAUGCAAGUCGAACGGCAGCACGGGAGCAAUCCUGGUGGCGAGUGGCGAACGGGUGAGUAAUAUAUCGGAACGUGCCCAGUCGUGGGGGAUAACGCAGCGAAAGCUGUGCUAAUACCGCAUACGAUCUAUGGAUGAAAGCGGGGAUCGCAAGACCUCGCGCGAUUGGAGCGGCCGAUAUCAGA
rnacentral:rRNA from 1 species